GAUGAACGCUGGCGGCGUGCCUAAUACAUGCAAGUCGAGCGAACAGAUGAGGAGCUUGCUCCUCUGACGUUAGCGGCGGACGGGUGAGUAACACGUGGAUAACCUACCUAUAAGACUGGGAUAACUUCGGGAAACCGGAGCUAAUACCGGAUAAUAUAUUGAACCGCAUGGUUCAAUAGUGAAAGACGGUUUUGCUGUCACUUAUAGAUGGAUCCGCGCCGCAUUAGCUAGUUGGUAAGGUAACGGCUUACCAAGGCAACGAUGCGUAGCUGACCUGAGAGGGUGAUCGGCCACACUGGAACUGAGACACGGUCCAGACUCCUACGGGAGGCAGCAGUAGGGAAUCUUCCGCAAAGGGCGAAAGCCUGACGGAGCAACGCCGCGUGAGUGAUGAAGGUCUUCGGAUCGUAAAACUCUGUUAUUAGGGAAGAACAAAUGUGUAAGUAACUAUGCACGUCUUGACGGUACCUAAUCAGAAAGCCACGGCUAACUACGUG
rnacentral:rRNA from 1 species